rnacentral:rRNA from 1 species
UCUAGGUCGGGGACAACCACUGGAAACGGUGGCUAAUACCGGAUGUGCCGAAAGGUGAAAGGCUUGCUGCCUAGAGAUGAGCUCGCGUCUGAUUAGCUAGUUGGUGUGGUAAGAGCGCACCAAGGCGACGAUCAGUAGCUGGUCUGAGAGGAUGAUCAGCCACACUGGGACUGAGACACGGCCCAGACUCCUACGGGAGGCAGCAGUGGGGAAUUUUCCGCAAUGGGCGAAAGCCUGACGGAGCAAUACCGCGUGAGGGAGGAAGGCUCUUGGGUUGUAAACCUCUUUUCUCAGGGAAUAAGAAAGUGAAGGUACCUGAGGAAUAAGCAUCGGCUAACUCCGUGCCAGCAGCCGCGGUAAUACGGAGGAUGCAAGCGUUAUCCGGAAUGAUUGGGCGUAAAGCGUCCGCAGGUGGCACUGUAAGUCUGCUGUUAAAGAGCAAGGCUCAACCUUGUAAAGGCAGUGGAAACUACAGAGCUAGAGUACGUUCGGGGCAGAGGGAAUUCCUGGUGUAGCGGUGAAAUGCGUAGAGAUCAGGAAGAACACCGGUGGCGAAAGCGCUCUGCUAGGCCGUCAACUG